CCUACGGGUGGCAGCAGUCGAGAAUCAUUCACAAUGGGGGAAACCCUGAUGGUGCGACGCCGCGUGGGGGAAUGAAGGUCUUCGGAUUGUAAACCCCUGUCAUGUGGGAGCAAAUUAAAAAGAUAGUACCACAAGAGGAAGAGACGGCUAACUCGGUGCCAGCAGCCGCGGUAAUACAGAGGUCUCAAGCGUUGUUCGGAUUCACUGGGCGUAAAGGGUGCGUAGGCUGUUUCGUAAGUCGUGUGUGAAAGGCGCGGGCUCAACCCGCGGACGGCACAUGAUACUGCGAGACUAGAGUAAUGGAGGGGGAACCGGAAUUCGCGGUGUAGCAGUGAAAUGCGUAGAUAUCGAGAGGAACACUCGUGGCGAAGGCGGGUUCCUGGACAUUAACUGACGCUGAGGCACGAAGGCCAGGGGAGCGAAAGGGAUUAGAUACCCCAGUAGUC
rnacentral:rRNA from 1 species